AUAUAUAUCAACCUCUCUCUUGUUGGAGUGGUUUGGAUGUGGGGGUUUGCUGGCCUCUUAAAGAGUUCAGCUCCCUUGAAAUGCAUUAGCAGAACAGACCUGUUCAUUGGUGUGAUAACUAUCUACGCUAUUGAAUGUGAGGGGAAGUUCAGCUUUCUAACUGUCCUUGGACAAAUUAUCAUUU
rnacentral:misc_RNA from 2 species